CCUACGGGGGGCAGCAGUGAGGAAUAUUGGUCAAUGGACGAGAGUCUGAACCAGCCAAGUAGCGUGAAGGAUGACUGCCCUAUGGGUUGUAAACUUCUUUUAUAUGGGAAUAAAAUGUUCCACGUGUGGGAUUUUGUAUGUACCAUAUGAAUAAGGAUCGGCUAACUCCGUGCCAGCAGCCGCGGUAAUACGGAGGAUCCGAGCGUUAUCCGGAUUUAUUGGGUUUAAAGGGAGCGUAGGUGGAUUGUUAAGUCAGUUGUGAAAGUUUGCGGCUCAACCGUAAAAUUGCAGUUGAAACUGGCAGUCUUGAGUACAGUAGAGGUGGGCGGAAUGCGUGGUGUAGCGGUGAAAUGCUUAGAGAUCACGAAGAACUCCGAUUGCGAAGGCAGCUCACUGAACUGCAACUGACACUGAGGCUCGAAAGUGUGGGGAUCAAACAGGAUUAGAUACCCCUGUAGUC
rnacentral:rRNA from 1 species